UUGCUAUCAGGCGUCGAGCGGCGGACGGGUGAGUAAUACUUAGGAAUCUACCUAGUAGUGGGGGAUAGCACGGGGAAACUCGUAUUAAUACCGCAUACGACCUACGGGAGAAAGGGGGCAGUUUACUGCUCUCGCUAUUAGAUGAGCCUAAGUCGGAUUAGCUAGAUGGUGGGGUAAAGGCCUACCAUGGCGACGAUCUGUAGCUGGUCUGAGAGGAUGAUCAGCCACACCGGGACUGAGACACGGCCCGGACUCCUACGGGAGGCAGCAGUGGGGAAUAUUGGACAAUGGGGGAAACCCUGAUCCAGCCAUGCCGCGUGUGUGAAGAAGGCCUUUUGGUUGUAAAGCACUUUAAGCAGUGAAGAAGACUCCGUGGUUAAUACCCACGGACGAUGACAUUAGCUGCAGAAUAAGCACCGGCUAACUCUGUGCCAGCAGCCGCGGUAAUACAGAGGGUGCAAGCGUUAAUCGGAAUUACUGGGCGUAAAGGGAGCGUAGGUGGCUCUAUAAGUCAGAUGUGAAAUCCCCGGGCUUAACCUGGGAACUGCAUCUGAAACUGUAGAGCUAGAGUAUGUGAGAGGGAGGUAGAAUUUCAGGUGUAGCGGUGAAAUGCGUAGAGAUCUGAAGGAAUACCGAUGGCGAAGGCAGCCUCCUGGCAUAAUACUGACACUGAGGCUCGAAAGCGUGGGUAGCAAACAGGAUUAGAUACCCUGGUAGUCCACGCCGUAAACGAUGUCUACUAGUCGUUGGGUCCCUUGAGGACUUAGUGACGCAGCUAACGCAAUAAGUAGACCGCCUGG
rnacentral:rRNA from 1 species